GCUUAUGACCAUUCCAGAUUGAAUAUACCCGAUCUCGUCUGAUCUCGGAAGUCAAGCAAUAUCGGGCUUGGUUAGUACUUGGAUGAGUGACCGCUUGGGAAUACCAAGUGUGAUAAGCA
rnacentral:rRNA from 1 species